UCCAUAUUUUAGAAAGCCAUCGAGUCCCUGAUCGAAAAACAGUAUUUGGAACGAAAAGGAGGUAGCAAAGAUGAAUAUACGUACUUGGCGUAAAUUUAAGAGUUGAUAAAAUGGCCAAUUCGGCUGCAUAUGGUGCCGUGUGGAGAAAUGAAUUAUUCUUUGAUGUAACGCUGAAUACUGAAAGAUAUAUGUUAAUUUGGAGGGUUUAUAAAAUUCAACUAUACAUUGGCAAGGUUGAAGCAGACCUUCCUUUAAAUUAAUUAACUUUUUAUAAUCUGUAACUUCUAUAAGUAUUUAUCAAUCUAAAUUUACUUAUAGAGGUUUUUUCCUCAUUUUUCUACCUGAUAACUUUUUAAGAAGUUAGUAGUCCGCCCGUAUUGAAGGAAAACGUAUUUAAAACGCGGUGUCAAAGUGUCAUAAAAAGUAUAUAAAAGUUGCAAAAAGUGAUCAAUGUUCCUCUGGGUAAAAUUUCAGAUUUUCAAUCCUUCCUCAAAAUAAUGUGGAUAAUCCUUUUCAAUUUGCAAAAAAAAAAUAUUUUCAUGCAGAAUCGGCUUUUUAUUCAUAUAUCGUAUUAACUAGUAUAUUAUUUAGCGUUGAUCAGCUGUGUAAUUGCAUUGUAAUCACAUACAUAUAAACUGUACAGGCUGGCGACUGCUAGCAGAUGUAUAUGUUACGAGUGCUACAGAAACGCGCUCCUUAGAAAGUAGAGUGUUUCACAUUAAACCUUCCUUCUGACUCACAUGGUAAACCUUCCUCAGUCACUGGUGGUACCCGCAUACACCCAGCUUUUUUGCAACUUUGGUGUAUAUAAUUGGAUUUGAUCUUAUUUGAAAGUCUUUCUCUCCUCUUUCAUCAUCAGGUCAUUUGUGUGACUUCAGAAUUAUUUAAAUUUGCAUAGCAUGGCCAGUUGCCAUUGCUAGCUUGCAUGCCACUGGAUCACAGGCAAAGGAUAUUAUUUUAUUAUCUUCAUGAUAUUAAUACAGGUGUAUACGAUAGAUAAUUGCAAAUUGUGUCAACCAAAAUAUGUCACGUGAAGUGACUUUAUAUCUGAUAAAACUCAUCCUUAGUAG
rnacentral:lncRNA from 1 species